rnacentral:rRNA from 1 species
AUGCCGGUAGAUAGGAGCCAACAUUGGUUGUCCCUGUUAAGACGCUGCCGAGACCGAAGAAUCCACCCAUAUGUACUUGUGCAACCUGUGCCGAAGGAGGAGAAUGCCGUACAACUCCACAGGGGGUAUGAAACCGGUCAGGGCAGUGAAGUGGUGACCGAGAUUGUUUUAUCCGGGUCACAGCCACAAGAUGUGUAUGCUAGCCAACCCGAGAAAGAGUCGGAGUACGUGCCACACAAUGUUUGUGGUCCUGAUACUGGGCAGAGUAGCCAGUCGAUAAUAUUAGCUGGUUCUGGUUUUGCUGACGGGGAUGAGGAAGGGGAUGAAAUGCAGAGGGUGAUGGAGCAAGAGGACGAGGAUGGAUUGGUGGAGGAACUGGAUUCUGAAAAUUCUGAGGAUGAAGUGGAGGUACCGAUUCCUUCUGCAUGGGAGCAGGACAUAUCCACUGGCCUUACGGUCAACGAUGGCCAUGAGACUCCAUGGCAGUAUAAUCUGAACCAAGUACAGAUAGGGGCUAUGUUUGAUACAAAGAAAAAAUUGAAGUAUGCGGUGAUAAAGUGGGCUAUGUCUACGCAGAGGGUUUUCCGGACACACAUAUCAAGUCCAACAAACUAUACCGUGAAAUGUAUUGAAACAAGUUGUCCUGGGAAGGUGCACGGGCAUGUGCCGAAGUAUGACAUCCACUGGGUUGUCACCAUUGUCGUCCCACAUAAUUGUGUGAGGAAGAACCUGUUGGUGAAGCAUCCGAACCUGACUUCAAGUCUCAUUGCGCAACUCAUGUAUACUGAGAUAGUAGAGAAGAAAGAUAUGGAAGCAAAACACAUCCAGACAGCAGUGAAGGUCAGAUGGAAUUAUGUCAUUCCUUAUGGGAAGGCUUGGAGGGCUAAGCAGAAGGCUAUGGAGGAAUGGUUUGGGACGUUCUUCGACUCAUAUGAUAAUGUUGUCCGUCUCCUGGGCAUACUGAAGGAGAGGAAUCCCGGCACUUAUGUGAAUGUACAACACAUGAGGUUGCUGAGUAUACCAGAUUUCAAGGUGUUGAAACGAGUGUUCUUCUCUUUUGGUAUGUGCAUCGUAGCUUUCUGGCAUUGUCCUCCUGUUAUGUUUGUGGAUGGUACAUUCCUGACCGGUCAGUAUAGAGGGCAAAUUCUGACUGCUAUUGGUGUGGACGGGAACAAUCAAAUCAUCCCACUUGCCAUGGCAUUUGUGGAGGGUGAGAACUUUCUCAGCUGGGUAUGGUUCUUCCGCCAAGUGAAAAUUGCCAUCGUGAAGGACCGAUCAAACGUGUGUGUCAUUCAUGACAGACAUGCUGGUAUACUGAAGGCCGUGAAGACACUUCGUAAUCCAACAGAUGACGAACCAACACCUUGGAGGGACUUGCAGAGCCGGUGGUGCAUGCGCCAUCUUGGGGCUAAUUUUUUCUCACAGUUCAAGAACAAGCGGUUGAUGAACUUGUUCAAAAAAUUAUACAAGCAGAGCCAACAACGCAAAUACGAAUUUAUUUGGUCAAAACUAGAUGAGUUUACUAAGAAGCAGGUCCGUGCGAGGAAGAAAAUGGAAGAAGAUCAAGUUAAAUUAGCAGCACUCAUCGCGGAGCUAGAGGAGCCAAUAGGUCUUUGUGACUUGCCAGCAAUUGACCCUCCUAAUACUAAGAGAAAGAAGGGAAGGGCAAUAAAGAAUUUUUCUGAGUGGAUAGAGAAAGAGCCUCCAGUGAAUUGGUCUUUGCUGCAUGACACACAUGGAGCUAGGUAUGGCCACAUGACAACCAAUCUUGCAGAGGUGUAUAACUUUGUGUUGAGAGGGAAUAGAGCAUUGCCACUCACAGCUAUUGUGGAGGCUGUAUUCCACGGCACUUUGAGAUAUUUCAGAGAAAGGCACGAGUUAGCAAAGAAGCAUAUUGAAGAUAAUCAGAACACACCUUAUUGUAGCCGUGUCAUGGAAUACAUGGCAAAGAAGAUAGAGAAAGCAAAGAAGCACACUGUCAGACUCAUAGGGAAUCAAGAAAGGAGGUAUGAGGUUCAGCUUCCUACCGAUGGUUUUGGUUCUGGAAAUAAGGUGAAGACACACGAGGUAAAAAUUGGAACGGAAUUUUAUCCAACGUGUGAGUGUACAUGCAACAAACCGAAGUUGUUGCACCUACCUUGCUCUGUUGGCUGCCUGUGGCCAGAUUGA